rnacentral:rRNA from 1 species
AUUGAACGCUGGCGGCAGGCCUAACACAUGCAAGUCGAGCGGAUGAAGGGAGCUUGCUCCUGGUUUCAGCGGCGGACGGGUGAGUAAUGCCUAGGAAUCUGCCUGGUAGUGGGGGAUAACGUCCGGAAACGGGCGCUAAUACCGCAUACGUCCUGAGGGAGAAAGAGGGGGAGCUUCGGAACUUACGCUAGCAGAGGAGCCUAGGUCGGAUUAGCUAGUUGGUGGGGUAAAGGCCUACCAAGGCGGCGAUCCGUAACUGGUCUGAGAGGCUGGUCAGCCACACUGGAGCUGAGACACGGUCCAGACUCCUACGGGAGGCCGCAGUGGGGAAUAUUGGACAGUGGGCGAAAGCCUGGCCCAGCCGUGCCGCGUGUGUGGAGGAGGUCCUCGGAUUGUAAAGCCCUUUUAGUUGGGAUGAAGGGCAGUAAGUUAAUACCUUGCUGUUUUGACGUUACCAACAGAAGAAGCACCGGCUAACUUCGUG